CGACCCCUCGGUCGACGCGGCUCACCAGAACAAUAUAUUUUGAGCGUUACCUAACGAUGAUAUCUGCAACGCGCCUCGAACGAGAACGGAUGACAGAAUGCGAACGUCAAACGUGCAUGCAGAUUUGGUGAGAUGGCAAAAACCCGAAAAGUUGAACUAAAUAGUGUACAUGCUGUCAUGCUAAUGUUAAAAAUUCUAAAUUUUUGCUUAUAAUUACACUUGAACUAAAUUUCUUCACAUCGAUAUUAAUCCUAGCGAGGUAAUUAUGUCUUGAAAUAUAAAUAAUGUGAAUUCUAAGGUGUUACUGUUUCUAGACAGACAAUUACUGUAAAUUCGCCUAGCUAACCUAUAGCAGAUCUAGUUGAUCUGAAGAUCGGAAUUCUUCAUUGAUCCGAAGCAACGUAAGUGGAACAUUUCAAUGAAUUCAAAUAAUAAGUUCUUACGUUCUAAUGUUAUAGUAGGAAAUAGGUUGGAGCUAAAAGGAAGUCAAAGGAAGAAAAUACCGUGAGCAAGUAGAAGUAGGAAGAUUAGUGAACGAACUAAACGUAAGUGGUUGAAUGAGGAGUUGUUAAUUUGAACUAAUAAUUUUAAUUUUAGGAAUUUUUUAAUGUUCGCCAAUAAACAUUAAGGAAUCGGAAUCCUCUGCUUUCUUCCUCUUCAUUCCCGUUGACGGAGCGUCAACAAAUUAAAAAAUUCGUUUAUCUCCCAUACCGAUUGGGCGAUGCUUGGGCGAACGCCAAUCAAGACGAGGAGCACUGCAGCAGCCCGUGAUGGUCGGUCUGCAGCUGGGUCUACACGAGAAGACAUCGUGCGUAAUGAUGGCUCUCAACACUGCAAAGCCUGCACCGACGAUGACAACACUCGAAUGGUCCAGUGCGAUAAAUGCGACGACUGGUACCAUUUUGCGUGUGUAGAAGUGAGCCGAGGUGUCGCUGACCGCGAUUGGCAUUGCCCUAUAUGCCAGUCGGCCGCCAAAGGAGCCAAGAAGAAACAUUCGUCUAAGGUAACCUCUACAGAACCGGCCGUGAGUACGUCAGCUCCCAUAAACCCCGCUAUAAGAGUUACAUCAGUUCCAUUGAAUGUUGUUCCCCAAAUUCCGAUAAAUUUACCCGCCUUGCCCCACGUAACAAGUUGUGAUGUUAACGAGUCUGUGUUAACUCACGUUCCAUCGAAUAUGAUAUUUCCGCCUGUUUCUGCCAAUAAAGCUAGCAAUACCUUGAAUCCGCUAAUUGCCUAUACUGUAACUAGUACCCCCGUCCCUUCAAAUAUGCUAGCACCACCAGGCAUAUUCACCCUCGCCGGAAGUUCGGAUUCGCCUAACCCACCUUACACGUUGAUGUCAUCGAAUGCCGUAAUACAGUCAACAGCAUGUACUGUCACUAGUUUUCCGAGGAUGACUGAGAUCAGCCAGUGUCCCCCGAUAUCUUCUGGAGCCCAGCCGAUACCAGCAGUCACAAACAUCCCCCUGGCAUCCAGCACCAUCAUCCCUACCUCUGGACCUCUAGCUGGAAAAUCUUCGAAAGAGCCGCUGAAAUCAACGUCGAACAUACCUCGAAGUAACGCGAAGCAAGUCUUCGGGGAGACAUCAAGUCAGCACUCUGGAGCUUCGAAGAGGUCCACCAAGCAGAAACAGUUAGAGUUGGAGUUGAAAAUGCUCGACGAGGAGCGGAAAUUGCAAGAAGAGGAGAACUUGAAAAAGCGAGAGUAUCUUCAAAAGCGGUACGCCAUCCUUUUGGAGAUUGCCAGCGAGUCGUCGUCGGUUGCUGAAAUCGAAGAAGACAAAGUCGAGGAUCGAGUGGAUGAAUGGGUCAACAAUCGUUUGAACGCAGGCCCAGCAGUGCCAGAUCCAGAAGUGCUUCCGGAAUUACUUGAUGUGAACAUAGCUAGACAACCACCUUACAACAACGCGUAUCCGAUCUGUAGUCAGCCAGAGAUAUCUAGAAGAAUUCCUGCUCGGCUUGAAACCGUAUCAUUCCGUCAACCUAGAAUGUUUCCAACUUCUGCAACGGACCGAUAUGCCAGUAUGCCAGUGCGUCAACCAGAAGCUACCGCCCCCCAGCAUCAAACCGUAAACUCUAGGAUACAUCGACCAAAUGCCAACCAUCAGCCGGACAGACAAUCGAGAAACGUGAAUUUGCUUGGACUCGGUCGAUCUUCGCUGGGACGUGACCUGUUUGAAGAUGAUGAGGACAACAAUCUAACUCGUAGUCAAGUUGUAGCUCGCCAGGCCGUGUCACGUGAACUUCCGACCUUCAGUGGGACUCCUGAAGAAUGGCCACUGUUUUUCUCCUCGUUCACAACUACGACAAGCAUGUGCGGAUAUACAGCGGAGGAGAAUCUUGUUCGUUUGCAGAAAUGCCUCACGGGAAAAGCCUUCGAAGCAGUCAAAUGCAUGCUAAUGCACCCGAUGAACGUGACUCAAAUUAUUUCAACCCUGAAAAUGAGAUUUGGAAAUCCAGAGAUUAUAGUGCACAACUUAAUGGCCAAAAUCAGCUCAACUCCGGCUCCUAAAGCUGAAAAAUUAGAUACCAUUAUCGAAUUUGCGCUUGCUGUGCAAAAUUUGUGCGCCACAAUCGAGGCGUGUCAGCUGGAAGAAUAUUCCUACAACGUGGCUCUUCUCCGUGAACUCGUGGAUAAAUUACCGUCCGCAAUCAAACUGGAUUGGGCCAGAUAUCGUCGUAAUUUUGCUGCUGUGAAUUUGUCAAUCUUCUCUGGUUGGUUGUAUGAGCUCGCGGAGGAUAUCUGUCCGCUUGCUGGGCCACCCAGUGAUCCCAAGAUCAAUCGAGUAGGAAAGAAUAAUCCAGCGUUUCUGAAUGCUCAUGCUGAGGAAGUCGACGAUCAACCGAGGAAGCUGCUCAAGGAAGGAACUUUGACGGAUCAGUUCAAGAAAACAGAUGCGGCGUGUUUAGUGUGCAAAAGCAACUGUCCCACCAUAGACAAAUGUCAACGGUUCUAUGAAAUGGGGUAUAAUUCACGAUGGGCUGUUGUCAAAGAAUUUGGACUGUGCAGAAAAUGUCUCAAUACUCACAAGGGACCAUGCAAGAUACAGAAACUAUGCGGCAAAAACGGCUGUGAAUUCAAACAUCACGAGCUUCUGCAUAAUAAUUUGCGAGACCAGAAAGCUGCUGUGAAGACCGGGGUAAAAUCCGAUGCGCCACGCGAGAACCUUGCAGCAGAUACCACAAGAUCAUCCGAGAGUGAAUGCAACAUCCAUCAUCAGAUCACCAACAAGACCUUGUUCCGAGUUGUUCCUGUAAUUCUCUACGGACCAGAUAAGCCCAUAAGGACGUUCGCGUUCCUCGAUGAUGGAUCUUCCUAUACUUUAAUGGAUGCUGAUCUAGCUAUGGAACUGAAAGUAGAAGGGAAUCAUGAACCUCUCUGCCUCAAGUGGACGGGAAACAUGUGUCGCUCAGAAAAUGACUCAAUCAAGGUGAACGUCCAGAUUUCUGGAACCGGUCCAAAUGCAAAAAGGUAUUGGCUUCAGGGAGUUCACACGGUUUCCGCUUUAGAUCUGUUCCGUCAGUCCGUUGAUGCGCGCGAGAUGGCGGAUCAUUACAAACAUUUGCGAGGGAUUCCGGUAGAGUCUUAUCAGAACGCGCAACCACGGAUACUAAUUGGUAUGAAAAACGCAAAUCUCGGUUAUCCUCUGAAAGGGCGAGAAGGAAAGCCUAAUGAACCUAUAGCAACAAAAACCAGGCUAGGAUGGGUUCUUCACGGAGGUUGUGACGGAACUGAUUUGUUGUUAGCUUAUCACGGUGUACAAUGCGGUUGCUCCGAAACAUCUGACGAUUUCCUUGAGCAAACGAUACGAGAAUAUUUCUCUCUAGAAGGCCUUGGAGUCACUAAGCAAGAUAAGCCACUAUUUUCCAAGGAGGAUCAACGAGCGCUGGAGAUCUUGCAUAAAAUUGUCCAAACUGACAACGGACAAUACGAAACGCGCCUUCUUUGGAAAUAUGACGAAUUUCGAUUGCCGAAUAGUAAGCCUGCAGCACUGCGACGAUUGCAUUGCCUUGAAUCCCGGAUGAAGAGAGAACCAGAGCUAGCUGUCGCCCUUCGUGCAAAAAUAGAGGACUACAAAGAAAAGGGCUACAUUAGGAAGCUUGUAGAAGCAGAACUUCAAGAGUUGCAGCGUAUCUGGUAUAUACCCAUAUUCCCAGUGUUCAACGCAAACAAACCAGGAAAACUGCGUAUCGUUUGGGAUUGCGCAGCUAAAACCGGAAACGUUUCUCUGAAUUCUAUGUUGGUUAAAGGUCCGGAUCAAUUGACUCCCCUGACCGAUGUACUAUACAGGUUCCGGGAAAAUAAGAUUGGAAUCAGCGGCGACAUAAGAGAAAUGUUUCUUCAAGUGCGAAUCGCUAAAGAAGAUCAGGGUUGUCAACUAUUUCUAUGGAAGGAUGACCCCGAAGACGAAGUGCCUAGUACCUAUGUGUCCCAAGUGAUGACAUUCGGGGCAUGUUGCUCACCAAGUUGUGCUCAAUUUGUUAAAAAUUUGAACGCGACAAAGUAUGCUGGCAAAUUCCCGAGGGCAGCUGAAGCUAUCACGAAGCAGCACUAUGUGGAUGACAUGCUGGACAGCGUCGAAAGCGAAGAAGAAGCCAUCCAGUUAGCGGAAGAUGUCAGAUUCAUCCAUGCUGAGGCCGGGUUUGAAAUGCGGAAUUGGAUUUCUAACUCCAGCGAUGUUCUUCAAGCUCUGCAUCAAGAGAAAACAGACAACAAAAGUCUUCAUGUUGGAUCUGAGUUGGGUACAGAAAAGGUCCUAGGAAUGUGGUGGUGCACGAAUACGGACAGUUUCACCUACAAACUCUCGCCGAAGCACGAUGCUGAGCUCUUGACGGGAAAUCGAAUCCCCACUAAAAGGGAGGUACUGCGCACACUCAUGUCCAUUUUUGACCCACUAGGAUUGCUAUCCCAUGUACUCGUCUGUAUCAAAAUCUUGUUCCAGGAGAUUUGGCGAUCUGCUAUUGACUGGGAUGACGCAAUACCGGAUAAACUCCAUGAAAAAUGGGAUCAAUGGUUACGGAUUCUUCCAAAAUUAAAAGACGUCAACAUUCCGCGCUGCUACCGCUUGUUGACCACAGUGGGCCCGGACACGCUGAUUCAACUACACACAUUUGUUGACGCGAGUGAGCUGAGUUAUGCGGCGGUGGUAUACUUGCGAUUUCAACAAGGCAAUACGGUAGAAUGCGCGAUUGUGGGAGCCAAAUCGCGUGUAGCGCCACUAAAAUUCAUCUCAAUUCCCCGUCUUGAGCUACAAAGUGCGGUUCUUGGAGCAAGACUUGCUAAUACAAUUACUGAAGCCUUGUCCUUUAAGAUCAACGAACGAUUCUUUUGGACGGACGCCCGCGAUGUGUUAUGCUGGUUGCGUUCAGAUCAUCGUCAAUAUUCGCCAUUCGUGGGUUGGCGAGUUAGCGAAAUAUUAGAAGAGACGAAUAUCAAUAACUGGAAGUGGAUCAGCUCGCAGGACAACGUAGCUGAUGAAGCAACUAAAUGUAAACGAACACCGGAUCUUAGCAGUCAAAGUAGAUGGUUCAGAGGACCUGAGUUUCUAUGGAAAUCAGCAGAUACAUGGCCAUGUGAACCUUUCAGCUCAAACACUACCAAAGAGGAGCUUCGUGCCAAUUUGCUUUUCCACAAAGUUGUGCCACUGCCGCUAUUUCAAGUAGCAAAAUUUUCGGUAUGGAAUCGUUUGCUUCGAGUUGCAGCUGCCACAAUCAGAUUUAUCGCCAAUGUCAGGUGCAAAACAGCGGGCGUUGAUCGCAGCACGGGACCAUUCUCCAAGGAUGAGCUUUUGAGUGCUUCAAACCUUCUUUACCGCCAAGCUCAAAGUGAAGCCUUUGCAGAAGAGAUAGCUAUGUUGUCGAAUACCGAGAAACCUAUACCUAAGUCGAGUUCUAUCUUCACGAUGAAUCCAUUUUUAGACAAAAACCGAGUGCUCCGAAUGCAUGGUCGUAUCAGUGCGUGUGAGUAUGCCAGUACGGAUGCCCGAAACCCAAUAAUACUUCCGAAAGAUCACCACAUAUCGAAGCUCAUCGUUCAGGAUUAUCAUCAACGGUAUCAUCAUCGCAAUCACGAGACAGUACUGAACGAGUUGCGGCAAGUUUUUCGAAUUCCGAAAUUGCGAGGAAUGUUUCGAAAGGUUAAAUCUGACUGUCAAACUUGUAAAAACCAACGAGCCACACCUCUUCUUCCUCCGAUGGCAGACCUUCCAAGUGCUAGAUUGGCUGCUUACACCAGGCCUUUUUCGUACAUCGGCAUAGAUUAUUUCGGCCCCAUGACUGUGGCAGUAGGAAGAAAGAAUGAGAAGCGAUGGGGAGUUCUUAUAACCUGUUUAACAAUCAGGGCGGUACAUAUAGAAGUUGCACAUUCACUAAGUGCAGAUUCUUGCAUAAUGGCAUUGCGGAGUUUCAUGGCAAGGCGGGGAGUUCCUAUCCAAAUAUAUAGCGAUAGAGGAACAAAUUUUAUUGCUGCUAGCAAGGAACUAAAUGAGGCAUUAAGGGACAUGGACCAACAGAAAGUCAUCCAAGAGAUAUCCAGUCAACACACUGAAUGGACCUUUAUUCCACCCGCUUCCCCGCAUAUGGGAGGGGCCUGGGAGCGGCUCAUCCAAACAGUAAAAGUGAACCUUCAAAAGAUGUUACCAAUGCGCCAUCCGACAGAUGAAGUACUCCGCAGUACUCUAGCUGAAAUUGAAAACCUAAUCAAUUCCAGACCAUUGACGCACGUUCCUGUAGACGACCCUGAGGCACCGGUGCUUACACCAAACCAUUUUAUACUGGGUUCGUCAAGCGGGCUCAAACCUGCGUCUCGAUUAGACGAUAGAGCCUUGAUUCUGCGCAGAUCUUGGCGACAGUCGCAAAGGGAAGCGGACUUAUUCUGGCAGCGUUGGCUCCGCGACUACCUGCCAGUAUUAACCAAGCGUACAAAGUGGUUCGCUAAUGUCAAACCCAUUGAACAUAACGAUAUCGUCAUGAUAGUUGAUCCAGAUCUCCCCAGAAAUUGUUGGCUUAGAGGUCGGGUCAUUGCAGUGAACCAAGCGAAGGACGGGCACGUGAGAUCAGUCGCAGUACAAACUACAAAAGGAAUCUACGAGCGACCGGCUUCGAAGAUAGCUGUAUUAGAUGUUCGCCGCGAGGAGCCAGUAGACCAGAACCCUGGCGUACUGGGGGGGGAGUGUUACGACCCCUCGGUCGACGCGGCUCACCAGAACAAUAUAUUUUGAGCGUUACCUAACGAUGAUAUCUGCAACGCGCCUCGAACGAGAACGGAUGACAGAAUGCGAACGUCAAACGUGCAUGCAGAUUUGGUGAGAUGGCAAAAACCCGAAAAGUUGAACUAAAUAGUGUACAUGCUGUCAUGCUAAUGUUAAAAAUUCUAAAUUUUUGCUUAUAAUUACACUUGAACUAAAUUUCUUCACAUCGAUAUUAAUCCUAGCGAGGUAAUUAUGUCUUGAAAUAUAAAUAAUGUGAAUUCUAAGGUGUUACUGUUUCUAGACAGACAAUUACUGUAAAUUCGCCUAGCUAACCUAUAGCAGAUCUAGUUGAUCUGAAGAUCGGAAUUCUUCAUUGAUCCGAAGCAACUAGGAAAUAGGUUGGAGCUAAAAGGAAGUCAAAGGAAGAAAAUACCGUGAGCAAGUAGAAGUAGGAAGAUUAGUGAACGAACUAAACGUAAGUGGUUGAAUGAGGAGUUGUUAAUUUGAACUAAUAAUUUUAAUUUUAGGAAUUUUUUAAUGUUCGCCAAUAAACAUUAAGGAAUCGGAAUCCUCUGCUUUCUUCCUCUUCAUUCCCGUUGACGGAGCGUC